CCUACGGGGGGCAGCAAUCAGGAAUCUUGCGCAAUGGGCGAAAGCCUGACGCAGCGACGCCGCGUGGGUGAUGAAGUCUUUCGGGAUGUAAAGCCCUUUUAAACGGGAAGAUGAUGACGGUACCGUUUGAAUAAGCCCCGGCUAACUACGUGCCAGCAGCCGCGGUAAUACGUAGGGGGCGAGCGUUGUCCGGAAUUACUGGGCGUAAAGGGCGCGUAGGCGGCCCCGCGGGGGGAGACCCCCGCCUUUUAAGUCCGCUGUGAAAGACCGGGGCUCAACCCCGGGGCGUCAGCGGAGACUGGGGGGCUGGAGGCCUGCAGAGGAGUGCGGAAUUCCUGGUGUAGCGGUGGAAUGCGUAGAGAUCAGGAGGAACACCGAUGGCGAAGGCAGCACUCUGGGCGGGACCUGACGCUGAGGCGCGAAAGCUGGGGGAGCGAACG
rnacentral:rRNA from 1 species